UUAUUAAACCUUGCUUUCUGUUCUAUUUUCCUAUCUGUUAAUUUCCAUAAUAAAAGUAAAUAUAGUUGCUUAUCUAUUAUAAUGCUUUUAAUUCCAGAAUGGCUUCCACAAUGUCUUAAAAAGAAAACCCUAAAAAACAAAAAUUAUGGAUGAAGGAAGAUUGUUCAAUGAAAAGUGGACAAAUGACUUUUUCUUGUUGAGGCAAAUAGCGAAGCACUCUGCUUAAUUUCCACGGAAUUUGUGCCAGUUUUCAAAGACUACAAUUUGAAGAGGCAUUAUAUGCAAAAACGUGCUGACAAAUUUGGUGUGUAUGUGUUGUAAGGACAAAAUAGCAGAACUGAAAAAAAGUCUGUCUUUUCAACAAAAAAGAUUUUUUAAAAAGUUACAACUCGGACUCAAUCGUAAGGUAAAACCUAGUUAUGUGGUAGCAAAUUUAAUAGCAAAAAAAUCAAAACCAUUUACUGAUGGUGAGUUUAUUAAGCAAUGUCUGGAAGAUGUGGUAGAUAUUAUUUGCCUUGAGAAACUGAUAUUUCUAAAAUCAGUUUGUCUCACCAGACUAUAGCCAGGAGAAUUGGAGAAAUUGGGAAAUCUAUUGAAAGACGUUUGGAGAGUAAAACUGCUAAUUUAAAAUUUUAUGCUUUGGUGAUGGAUGAAGGCACUGACACUACAGAUACGGCACAACUUGCUAUUUUUAUUAGAGGUAUUGAUGAUGAAUAUAAUGUCACUGAAGAAAUCGAAAUGUCACCAUGCUAUUAAAAGACACAACUAAAUCAAGAGAUUUAUAUGAAGCAGUGAAAAAUAUGUUAAAGCAAUUUUCUUUGUCCUUUGUAAACAUAUGUGAUAUAGCUACAGAUGCUGCCCUGGCGAUGGUAGGUAAAAGAGAGGGACUUGUACAAUUAAUAGAUGAUGCAGUUGCCACACAAAACUCACAUUUGAUGAAGUAUUAUUGCAUAAUACAUCAAGAAAAUCCAUGUGCACAAGCUUUAAAAGUAGAUAACGUCAUGCAAAUUGUCAUCAAGGCUGUAAAUUUCACAAGGGCCCAGGAAUUGAAUCAUCGCUAGUUUCAGGAAUUCCUUAAAAGUAUGGAUGCUGACUCUAGCAAGUCAUUCACUUUUUAGAAGUAAGAUGGUUAAGUCAAGGCAAAAUGUAAAGAUUUUAUGCUUUGUGAUGUGAAAUCAAGCUGUUUAUGGUAUCAAACAAAAUUGGUGCCAGAACUUGACAAUGAAAACUGGCUUACAGAUUUAGCAUUUUUAGUGGGUUUGACGGCCCAUUUAAGUGAGUUAAACCUGUGUCUUCAAGUUGAAAACCAACUUAACAAUACAAUGUUUCAAACCAUAACAGCAUUCCAUAUGAAACUGAAAUUAUGGCAAGCUCAAAUUAAGGCAAACAAUUUUAUGCAUUUCGACAUGUUGGCUAAACAUGGUCCUGUGAACAGCCAAAAAUACGCAGCCUUGCUUUUCAAUUUGAUACAGGAAUUUGAAAACAGGUAUUUCAAGAUUUCUGAAAAAAUCAUCAAUAUUUUGGUAUAUUUGCAACUCCAUUUUCAGUCGACAUAUAUAUGUUACCUGGCAAUUUUGAAAUGGAAUGCCUAGAGCUGCAAUCUGAUGUUCAACUUAUAGAAAAAUUUGAUUUUGCCUCUUUACUGGACUUUUGUAAGACCUGUCUUCCCAAUGACAAAUAUCCCUUGCUUCACAAUCACACCUUGUUCAUGUCAUUGCUUUUUGGCAGCACUUACAUUUGUGAGCUACUAUUUUCAAGGAUGAAGAACACGAAGAGUAAAAUUAGAACCAAAAUAUCUGAUGAGCACCUUGAGAACUCACUGAGAAUUGCAACUACUUCCAUCAAGCCAGAUACUGAUGGAUUAGUUUCUCAAAAACAAUGUCAAGUACCCCACUAGUUUUAUGUUGUUCUCUUUUCUUUUAUAAUAAAAAAUAUCAAAAAAGU
rnacentral:lncRNA from 1 species